rnacentral:lncRNA from 1 species
AACUAUAAUUUCUAUAAAUUACAAAAAAAGUUUACAUUUUGGAGGGCAUUUUCUUUCUGAAAGUAAAAGUAACCAAUAGAAGAUUCAAUGGAUGAAUCUAGAAGAAACUAGAUGUAUAUAAAAUAGCCGCUUUUCUCUUUCCACUCUCUUUUCAGGAAAAGGUGUCUUGUGGUCCAGGACUGCUUGCACCUGUGUAUAUAAGUUUAUCUAAUUCUGAGGAGAACUGUUAGGAAGCCCACUUACCCACACAUUUAAGCCAUAUACUACUUCAUCAGCUUUAUCAUGAAUUAUUUUGUUCUCCCUCUGUCUUGCUCUUUUGUCCUACUUUGCAGUUGGUUUAUGAACCAAGCAGAGUAAAGUGCUGUUCUUCAUUGAGCCCCUCAAAUCCUCGCACUUCACUCCUGGCCAAUAGCCUAUCAUUCAUGCUUUUUUUAUACAACAAAUAUUUAUGAAACCUUAGCUACAUGCUGGCACUAUACUAGAUGCUGGUGACGGUGAAAGGGUAGGCUCAGUUCCUGCUCUCAUGGACUUGCAUCAAACUUGUGAAUGAAUUACAGGAUCAGCACCAAAACCAGGCAAGGGCUACCUUACUGUGAAGCUGGAGAAAUUAGGGAUUCUGAUUGAACAGUACUGGACAUCAGACAUAGCUUCACAAGGUCAAGCUGACAUGGUGUUUUUUAAAACUAUGGGCCUCCUUCUCAUCAAUUCACUGUCCACUAUUAGAUAAAAAACAUGCCAACACAUGAUAAUUUUCAAGAUAGUCCCUCUCUUCCUUGGGUUCCCUGGGCUGGAAAGGUUUAUGAGAAAUGAGAUCUUGCCACCCAAAUUACUGAGGACUACAGAAAUCACUAAUGAAGGAGAAGGACUUGAGUCUAGAAAUUUCUUAGUCCAAAGCCUAUUGUGGGCAACAAGGAAAAAACUUAUUUAAGAAAGGAGAAUGAGUUUGUUCCUAAGGUAAGAAAACCAAUACGCCCAGUUAUUGAGAGCCAAGAAAGGCAGAGAUGGAGGAAAUUAGAUAAUGAGCUAAUAUUCAUCCCUAAUUUACAUUUGCUUUCAUGCAUAGAUUUGUCUGUCUUUCCAUUCUGUCCUAUGGGACUCCAUUCUACUAAGUGCAGACUUUAUACUUUCUCAAAACAUUUUCUCAGCUCUAGUUUUAUUAAAAAUCUGCUUAUAAGGGUGCCUAGGUGGUGCAGAGGUUAAGUGUCCAACUCUUGGUGUCAGCUCAGGUCGUGAUCUCAGGGUCAUUAGAUAGAGCCCCACAUUGGCCUCCACAUUCAGUGCAGAGUCUGCUUAAGACUCUUUCUCCUUUUCCCUCUGCCUCUCCCCACCCUAUGCUCGCACACACACUCUCUCUCUCAAAUAAAUAAAUACAUAUAUUUUUUUAAAAUGUGCUUAUUUAAUGAUAACACAGUGCUAUCCUGUACCAUUUUCUAUGUAAUGUUCACUUCACUGACACACUUAGACAUUAGCAAAGGAGCCCCAACUUACGCACUAAAUAUUAGAGGAACCCAUUGAACUUUCUUUCAUCUGUCCUUUCAGUGGGUUGAGAUAUCUCUGGGGCCAAGUGAUAUACUUGUGCCUUCCCUCUCAGAGCGCACUCAGGUCCCAAGGAAAACAGAACUUCAUGUUCCCUGCAGAGACCACUUCCUCUGGCCAUACUCCAAAAGUGCCUACCAUACUGCUAGUGU